rnacentral:rRNA from 1 species
AAACUAGCAUAUCAAUAAGCGGAGGAAAAGAAACCAACAGGGAUUGCCCUAGUAACGGCGAGUGAAGCGGCAACAGCUCAAAUUUGAAAUCUGGCCUUCGGGUCCGAGUUGUAAUUUGUAGAGGAUGUUUUUGGCGCGGUGCCUUCCGAGUUCCCUGGAACGGGACGCCUUAGAGGGUGAGAGCCCCGUACGGUUGGACACCAAGCCUCUGUAUAACUCCUUCGACGAGUCGAGUAGUUUGGGAAUGCUGCUCUAAAUGGGAGGUAAAUUUCUUCUAAAGCUAAAUAUUGGCCAGAGACCGAUAGCGCACAAGUAGAGUGAUCGAAAGAUGAAAAGCACUUUGAAAAGAGGGUUAAAUAGCACGUGAAAUUGUUGAAAGGGAAGCGUUUGCGACCAGACCUUUUCCUGGCGGAUCAUCCGGUGUUCUCACCGGUGCACUUCGCCAGGUUUAGGCCAGCAUCGGUUUCUGUAGGGGGAUAAAAGCUUGGGGAACGUAGCUCCCUCGGGAGUGUUAUAGCCCCUCGCAUAAUACCCCUACGGGGACCGAGGACCGCGCUUUUGCAAGGAUGCUGGCGUAAUGGUCGUCAACGACCCGUCUUGAAACACGGACCAAGGAGUCGAACAUUUGUGCGAGUGUUUGGGUGUUAAACCCUCACGCGUAAUGAAAGUGAACGGAGGUGAGAGCCCUUGCGGGUGCAUCAUCGACCGAUCCUGAUGUCUUCGGAUGGAUUUGAGUAAGAGCAUAACUGUUCGGACCCGAAAGAUGGUGAACUAUGCGUGGAUAGGGUGAAGCCAGAGGAAACUCUGGUGGAGGCUCGCAGCGGUUCUGACGUGCAAAUCGAUCGUCAAAUCUGCGCAUGGGGGCGAAAGACUAUCGAACCAUAACUGGGC